rnacentral:rRNA from 1 species
CCCAGACUCCUACGGGAGGCAGCAGUGGGGAAUAUUGGGCAAUGGAGGAAACUCUUACCCAGCAAUGCCGCGUGAAUGAAGAAGGUCUUCGGAUUGUAAAGUUCUUUAAUUGGGGACGAAAAAAAUGACGGUACCCAAGGAAUAAGCCCCAGCUAACUACGUGCCAGCAGCCGCGGUAAUACGUAGGGGGCAAGCGUUGUUCGGAAUGACUGGGCGUAAAGGGUGCGUAGGCGGCAUGGUAAGCCAGAUGUGAAAGCCUUGGGCUUAACCCGAGGAUUGCAUUUGGAACUAUCAAGCUAGAGUACAGGAGAGGAAAGCGGAAUUCCUAGUGUAGCGGUGAAAUGCGUAGAUAUUAGGAGGAACACCAGUGGCGAAGGCGGCUUACUGGACUGUAACUGACGUUGAGGCUCGAAAGCGUGGGGAGCAAACAGGAUUAGAUACCCUAGUA